CCAGCCCGUGCCACCACCCUGCACCCCCUCCUUAACACCCCCUGCCUCUCUGCAUCUUGUUUGGCGGUCACCGUGGGGGUGUGUGCGCGUGCGUGUGUGUGUGUGUGUGCAUGUGUACGUGUGUCGAGGGAGGAGGAAGGCAAGCUUGAUGACACGCUCCAUUUCACAAGCUAAGUAAAUGGGGCAGAGAGAUGGGCGGCUGCCUGGGCAUCUCGCCAGGUGGGCAUCUUGACUCCAGGUCUGAGUUCUUUCUGCACAGGCUCCCUUGAGGGUUCCUACGUGGGCUCUGGAAGCUGACUGCCCGGGUUCAGAUCCAGGCCGGGCCUUUUGGUGACUGCGCAGCCUUGGGCACAUUCCUUAACCUCUAGGUGUCUGGUUUCUUGGGUCUACAAAAUGGGGACAACCCACGGGAGGAACCACCUGUGGCCGCUGUGGAGUUCCAUCGGGGCCUCUCACACUGACUGAGCGCUGUGUGCCAGGCGCCCAGAGCUGGCGUGCCAAGCGGAUGUCCACUGCCCUCGCGAGAGCCAGGCCUGGGCUGGGCCUGUGCCCUUGACGCGGAGUAAACAGACCGCAGCCUGACUCGUAGGAAGCGCUCGGUGACUGUGAGCUGUCCCCAUCACCAAGCUCGUGCUUCAGGCGAGCUGCCCUCUCCACGUGGCAGGUGAAAAGGAGCUGCGAGGAGCUGGACAAAAGGGAAGACCUUUAGAGGCAGACGGGAGUGGAACAUGGAAGCUAUGCCAGCAAAAAGCCAACAGUUGGUCGUGGCAAGGUCGAAUCCAGGGGUCGGUGAGACCGAUGACCUCCCUCCUGCGCAUCGGGUCAUUCCUGGUGGACUGGUUUGGGGCUCCUUUUCCACGAGAACCAAAACUGUCAUUACGUCUUGGUUUGGUGGGGGAGGGGCUUAGCAUAAGUGACUCCAAUUUGGGCCUGUCUUGUUUUUAACACUAGUCUCUCUCAUCUAAACUGACACUUUGGUGUUAUUCGACCCAUUUUACAGGCAAGGCAGACGAGUCCCCCUUUGCCAGAAGUCGACCAUCAGGGAAGUAGAAGAGAUGGGCCUGGAGCCCACAGGUCUUGGUUCUGGGAUAUUUUGGUUUCCGUUCUGGAGACCAGACUGCCAACCAAGGUGGGGAGGGGAGGGGCUCUGAGCCGAGGGGCCCAGGAGAGGGUUGGGGGCAGGCCGUGUCUAUUCCCUCCGGGGGCCCCAACCCAAAUGUACAUCCAUGAAGCCGGGCCUGGCGGUUUGAGUGAUGGGUUUAUUAAUACUGGAGGCCGCUGCCAGGCAAUGAGCCAGAUCGUGGUGACAAAGGCGGCCGCGGCGGCGCCCUGGGGGCGUCAUUAUGUAAUUGCUCCAAGGAUGAGGCAGGCUGGGGCCAGGGCAGGGGGGGCUGGGCGCCAGCCACGGGUAGAGGGAGCCCCCUCGGGAACCCUCACCGCUUCACCGCUCUGGGCUCCCACGCCCGGAGGCGGGUUAACCCCUGCCUGGCUGGGUGCAGCCCUCCGCUCCCGGCAAAGGGGCCCCCAGGGCGAGAUCCCCAGUCCCUGGGGACCCCCGGAGAAGACUGAGCCAGGGCUUUCCCUCCUCCGGGCACUGCUGCCCCCCCGCCCCAACCCGCCCUCGCUGAGAGUUGGGGGAGAGAGAGAAAAGACCAACGCAUUGGGCAACUUCUGGGUGUCAGUCGUGUGGCUUGCAUAUCAAACGGAUGGCAACCUCUGUGUGGUGGCCCAUGUUACAGACUGGGACCCAGCCCCAGAAGGCCUGGCUUCAUGCCCCGAGGAUUCCAGUCCUUGAGUUGGUCAGCUCUAAAGCUCGUGCUUUUUCCUUUGUACCCCACAAGGGGUCUUUAUAACCAUGGUGGAUCAGUUGUUGCCUCAGUUUCCCCAGCCAGGAUGCUGUUGAUGGGGUGGAAAGGACCGUGUACGUCUCCGCAUUAGGGGCCUGGGGAAGGGGUUUGGGACGCUGGUGUCCACCGAGCAGAUGGUGCAAGGACAGGCCUGGCUGUUUGGGUCAGUGGGGGCCAGCACACCAGGCCCUGCCCCUAUCCUGCCAGCCAGGGCCAGACCCCAAGAACACCCCCCGCCCGCCCCCAAAUCCUGGUGCUGCAGCCCUCUGCGGGGAAUGCCCUCCUCGAGUCCGCCAUGUGCUGUCACCCCUGGGAAGUCCGUCCCAGUGCCCUGCCCCCCAGCGCACUUACCCAGGAGCCUUCACGGCUGUCCCCCUCCAGCCCUGGGCUCACUGGUGACGGUACCUCAUACCCUGCGUCACUAAGGGAGCUGUUGUCGUCUGUCUGCCCCAUGAGGCCACGCGCUGUGGGGCGCCGGUUCCGUGUCUGCCCAUCUUCACAGCCGCCCGCCCAGCCUGGCACACAGUAGGCCUGUCCAGCACCUGCUAGACUUGAGGGGAAGGGCGUAACCCUCCAAUGGAUUUCAUGCUUGGGGACGGUCUCCAGACCCUGGCUUCAGGGCUCCACAGACCUGCCGGUGGCUCUGCGACUCCUAGCUGUGUGGCCUUGGGCAAAUUUGUAGCCUCUCUGGGCCUCUGUUUCCCCAUUAGGAAAUGGGGUAAUAGCAACCGCAGAGUCCCGAGGCCAGUUCCUGUUUACUGAGCACUUACUAUGCGCUGGACGGUGUCUUGGACCCCACACCAGCCCUGAGGAGGCAACUCCUGUCGUCAUCUCCAUGCUAUAGACAAGGAACUCUCCCCAGUCUGCUGACAAAGGACAGAACCGGAUUUGAACCCUGGUCCUGCCCCCUGUGUGUCUGAUCUCCCUUUCACAGGAUCGAUGAUUAGAUGAGAAAUAGCUAAGGACCAGCAUACAGAAGGUCAUAAACAGAAGCCCACUGUGCCCGGCUGCCCGCAGGCUAGGGGGCAAGGCUGUCUGACUGCAGCCGGGCCUACAGAGAGAAGCGGUGUCAGGGGGGAUACUGAGGCAGCAAGAGAGCUCCUGUGGUUCUCCUCCAGGUGGUAACCUCAUACGACUCUUCACCUCUCUGAGCCUCAGCUGACGCAGCUGGUGCCCUGUGCCUCCCGCCUGGUGGAAAAGGGGCUGCAAAAGCGCUUUGUACUCGUGAAUAAUAUCAUUGUCAUUAUUAUUAUUACUAUUGGGAGCAGAGUCCCCAACUCCAUCGUGUCCUCUGGGCCUCUUCAGCCCAGCACCUCCAUCCCCCUGCGUGCCACCCCCACCCUAAGCCAGGCCACUGUCAUCUCACUGGGACUGCAUCUCUCCUCCCGCUCUCAGCCUAGCCUCCUCUGAGUCACUCUCCACUUAGCGUUCCAAGAGAGCCUGGAGGAAGUUGAUCACGGCUUGUGAAGAACGCUGUCCCUCUUGCUCAGCAUAGAAUCCAGGGUCGUCCGUGCGGGCAGCCUGGCCCUGCGUGCCCCGGCCCUCCCACUCUCCCUGCACUCCAGCUGCACCAAGGCCACCUUCCUAUUUCUCAUAUCCACUGAACUUGUUUCCACCCCUGGCCCUUUGCACACACUGUUCCCUCUCCCUGGAAUGCUCUUCCCUGCA
rnacentral:lncRNA from 1 species